UGGAGACAGAGAUGAUUAUGGGAGGUGUUAUCUUAUUCCAUAUAGAACAGGGUUUAAGCCGGAUGCUGGAGUUGGAAAAUUGCAAGUAAAUGCAUUUGUUGGCACUUCAAUGGCUAUUGGACCAGUGGAAAAAGGUUUCAGAAAAUGACAGAGAAAAAAUAUUUAAAGAAUUUCAAAAAUAUUACUGGUGGGAUGAUGUGAAUGUAUGUGUUAUAAGGAGGAAUUUUUACGAAGAGCUAGAUCCAGAUUUAACGGUCUGUUGGAUUAUGCCAGAACCAACUUGGUACAACCUGACUGGAUACUCGAAUCCUAUGGCAACAGUACAUUCUCUAUUGGAAUAGCCAAGAAUACCAAUUAUUGAGGGACAGAGAAAAGAAAGCCCAGGCAUCAUCCAAGGGUGGCUCUCUACAUACUGUGGGUGCAGUUAGUAUGAUUGCUGUCGAUAAAAAAUGGGUAGGAAGAUAUCUUUUGGUGAGGUAUUCGAGAAGACGCAUCUGAAGAAGAAAAAGAACCCAACUAAUAAAGAUGUUUGGGUUGAGCCUCGUGCAAAAGCUGCCCAUAGAGAGAGGGUACAUAAAAAGGAGGAGGAAACAACAUCACAAAUCAGGAUGCUGCAGGAGCAGUUCAGCUCUUUUAUUUAGUUUGCAAGGAUUAUUCCUCCAUGUACUGGUGAUGUAGUUCGGGCUGUAAAAGGUCUAGGCCCACUAGAUGAUAUCAGCACAGAUGAGGAUGCGGAAGACGAACACGAUGACGAUGAAGAUGAAGAUGAGUGCCAUGGACAUGUCCCAGUCUUAUGAGAGCUUAGAGAAUAGCCUUUACUAACAUUCUUCUUGAAGCGGCUUCAACUUCGCCCUCACAUAGGUGUUAAUGAGGUAGAUAGAGACAUGAUGGGACUACGGAUUGCGGAAUGACAAAUCACACAAGAGAAAAGUAGCUUGUUAGACCAAAUAUGGCGCCUAAAAACUAUGUCCAAGACUAAUUUGUCCUUUAUAAUUAGUUCAGGGACUUAGAAGGCAAUUAUGAGAGAAAAGAUUA